rnacentral:rRNA from 1 species
GAUGAACGCUGGCGGCGUGCCUAACACAUGCAAGUCGAGCGAGGGUUUGCUCAGUAUUGAGUAUUCUAAAACUAGAAUGUUCAAUUCUGAGCAAAACCAAGCGGCGGACGGGUGAGUAACGCGUGGGUAACCUGCCCUAUACACAUGGAUAACAUACUGAAAAGUUUACUAAUACAUGAUAAUAUAUAUUUGCGGCAUCGCAGAUAUAUCAAAGUGUUAGCGGUAUAGGAUGGACCCGCGUCUGAUUAGCUAGUUGGUGAGAUAACUGCCCACCAAGGCGACGAUCAGUAGCCGACCUGAGAGGGUGAUCGGCCACAUUGGAACUGAGACACGGUCCAAACUCCUACGGGAGGCAGCAGUGGGGAAUAUUGCACAAUGGGCGAAAGCCUGAUGCAGCAACGCCGCGUGAACGAUGAAGGUCUUCGGAUCGUAAAGUUCUGUUG